CCUACGGGAGGCAGCAGUGGGGAAUAUUGCGCAAUGGGCGCAAGCCUGACGCAGCGACGCCGCGUGAGGGAUGAAGGUCUUCGGAUCGUAAACCUCUGUCAGCAGGGAAGAACGGUCACUGGUCUAAUCAGCAGCUAAUUGACGGUACCCGCAAAGGAAGCACCGGCUAACUCCGUGCCAGCAGCCGCGGUAAUACGGAGGGUGCGAGCGUUAAUCGGAAUUACUGGGCGUAAAGCGCUCGCAGGCGGUAUGUCAAGUCAAGGGUGAAAUCCCCGCGCUCAACGUGGGAACUGCAUUUGAUACUGGCAAGCUGGAGUGUGUGAGAGGAUAGUAGAAUUCCAGGUGUAGGGGUGAAAUCCGUAGAGAUCUGGAGGAAUAUCAGUGGCGAAGGCGACUAUCUGGCACAUAACUGACGCUGAGGAGCGAAAGCGUGGGUAGCAAACAGGAUUAGAUACCCCGGUAGUC
rnacentral:rRNA from 1 species